CCUACGGGGGGCAGCAGUGGGGAAUAUUGGACAAUGGGGGGAACCCUGAUCCAGCCAUGCCGCGUGUGUGAAGAAGGCCCUCGGGUUGUAAAGCACUUUCAGUGAGGAAGAACGCCUGGUGGUUAAUACCCAUCAGGAAAGACAUCACUCACAGAAGAAGCACCGGCUAACUCCGUGCCAGCAGCCGCGGUAAUACGGAGGGUGCGAGCGUUAAUCGGAAUUACUGGGCGUAAAGCGCGCGUAGGUGGCUUGAUAAGCCGGUUGUGAAAGCCCCGGGCUCAACCUGGGAACGGCAUCCGGAACUGUCAAGCUAGAGUGCAGGAGAGGAAGGUGGAAUUCCCGGUGUAGCGGUGAAAUGCGUAGAGAUCGGGAGGAAUACCAGUGGCGAAGGCGGCCUUCUGGACUGACACUGACACUGAGGUGCGAAAGCGUGGGUAGCAAACAGGAUUAGAUACCCUUGUAGUC
rnacentral:rRNA from 1 species